AGAGUUUGAUCCUGGCUCAGAUUGAACGCUGGCGGCAUGCUUUACACAUGCAAGUCGAACGGGGUUAAGGGGCUUGCUCCUUAAUCUAGUGGCGAACGGGUGAGUAAUGCAUCGGAACGUACCCGGGAGUGGGGGAUAACGCACCGAAAGGUGUGCUAAUACCGCAUAUUCUGUGAGCAGGAAAGCAGGGGACCUUAGGGCCUUGUGCUUCCGGAGCGGCCGAUGUCGGAUUAGCUAGUUGGUGAGGUAAAGGCUCACCAAGGCGACGAUCCGUAGCGGGUCUGAGAGGAUGAUCCGCCACACUGGGACUGAGACACGGCCCAGACUCCUACGGGAGGCAGCAGUGGGGAAUUUUGGACAAUGGGCGCAAGCCUGAUCCAGCCAUGCCGCGUGUCUGAAGAAGGCCUUCGGGUUGUAAAGGACUUUUGUCAGGAAGGAAAACCUAUUGGCUAA
rnacentral:rRNA from 1 species